rnacentral:tRNA from 1 species
GCCAGCAUAGCUCAGUUGGCCAGAGCAUCCCGAUUUUAUCGGGAGGGUCGGAGAUUUCAAUCUCUUUCCUGCU